rnacentral:rRNA from 1 species
UGACAAGUACUCCUACGGGGAGGCAGCAGUGGGGAAUAUUGCACAAUGGGGGAAACCCUGAUGCAGCCAUGCCGCGUGUGUGAAGAAGGCCUUCGGGUUGUAAAGCACUUUCAGUAGGGAGGAAGGUAGUGUAGUUAACACCUGCAUUAUUUGACGUUACCUACAGAAGAAGCACCGGCUAACUCCGUGCCAGCAGCCGCGGUAAUACGGAGGGUGCGAGCGUUAAUCGGAAUUACUGGGCGUAAAGCGCAUGCAGGCGGCCUGUUAAGUCAGAUGUGAAAGCCCGGGGCUUAACCUCGGAAUUGCAUUUGAAACUGGCAGGCUAGAGUCUUGUAGAGGGGGUAGGAAUUUCAGGUGUAGCGGUGAAAUGCGUAGAGAUCUGAAGGAAUACCAGUGGCGAAGGCGGCCCCCUCGGACAAAGACUGACGCUCAGAUGCGAAAGCGUGGGGAGCAAACAGGAUUAGAUACCCUGGUAG